rnacentral:misc_RNA from 1 species
UCUCUAAAUUACAGCGUACAAAGAAAAUAAAAGCAUCAACUAAAAAAUGGACAGACGACACCCUCGCAAACCUUCAGCAAUCAGUUCCUACCAAGUGGGAGCGACCUACAGGUAAAUGUCUCCUUAAAAUCUGACUUCUUAGAAGAAGUAAAUAUAGAUGCAUACACCUCUUUGUUUGCAUUGGCUGGUGCCCUAUCUGCUGCCUUGAACCGCUUCGCUGCGCCACCAUUAGUCACUCCUUUUACAGUCUCAACCUUCCCGUUUGCUUCCACUUCACCAACAACUUUCUCUACACCCUUAGCAUCAACAAGCCCAUGCUUUUUACCACUUAAACACUGUGAAUCCAGAACCACACUAUCUUCUCCAUUAACAGCCACCUCCCCAUUUUUCACUUUCUUUGGCUUCUUAUCCUUCACUUUUAAUCUCUCUUCCUUCAUCUUUACCCUCAAAACUGCCACCUCCUCGUCGUUUCCAUUUAUCACAAUCUUAUCAGAUUCCUCAAAUUCCUUGUAACAAACCAAGCAUGAUGAUGAUUUCACCUCCUUCAAUGCCUUAGCACUCAAAACAUGGCCACAAUUCUUCAA